rnacentral:rRNA from 1 species
UACGGUGAAUACGUUCCCGGACCUUGUACACACCGCCCGUCAAGCCAUGGAAGCUGGGUGUACCUAAAGUCGAUAACCGUAAGGAGUCGCCUAGGGUAAAACUAGUAACUGGGGCU